UUGCAGCCAUUUAAGCUGACCUUGGUUCUUUUCCCCCAUGAGGGCUGGUGUGCAGUGACUGCAAACAGCAAUUUUCUUAGUGUAUGCAGCCUGCUGGCAGCCUUAGGUGCCUUAAGGGACCUUGGAGAUAACC